CCUACGGGAGGCUGCAGUGGGGAAUAUUGGACAAUGGGCGAAAGCCUGAUCCAGCCAUGCCGCGUGUGUGAAGAAGGCCUUCGGGUUGUAAAGCACUUUCAGUGGGGAAGAAAGCCUUGGGGCUAAUACCCUCGAGGAAGGACAUCACCCACAGAAGAAGCACCGGCUAACUCCGGGCCAGCAGCCGCGGUAAUACGGAGGGUGCGAGCGUUAAUCGGAAUUACUGGGCGUAAAGCGCGCGUAGGCGGUCUGAUAAGCCGGUUGUGAAAGCCCCGGGCUCAACCUGGGAACGGCAUCCGGAACUGUCAGGCUAGAGUGCAGGAGAGGAAGGUAGAAUUCCCGGUGUAGCGGUGAAAUGCGUAGAGAUCGGGAGGAAUACCGGUGGCGAAGGCAGCCUUCUGGACUGACACUGACGCUGAGGUGCGAAAGCGUGGGUAGCAAACAGGAUUAGAUACCCUAGUAGUC
rnacentral:rRNA from 1 species